rnacentral:rRNA from 1 species
GACGAACGCUGGCGGCGUGCCUAAUACAUGCAAGUCGAACGAGAGCGACCGGUGCUUGCCCUGGUCAAUCUAGUGGCGAACGGGUGAGUAACACGUGGGUAACCUGCCCAUCAGAGGGGGAUAACAUUCGGAAACGGAUGCUAAAACCGCAUAGGUCUUCGAGCCGCAUGGCUUGAAGAGGAAAAGAGGCGCAAGCUUCUGCUGAUGGAUGGACCCGCGGUGCAUUAGCUAGUUGGUGAGGUAACGGCUCACCAAGGCCGUGAUGCAUAGCCGACCUGAGAGGGUGAUCGGCCACAUUGGGACUGAGACACGGCCCAAACUCCUACGGGAGGCAGCAGUAGGGAAUCUUCCGCAAUGGACGCAAGUCUGACGGAGCAACGCCGCGUGAGUGAAGAAGGUUUUCGGAUCGUAAAACUCUGUUGUUAGAGAAGAACAAGUGCUAGAGUAACUGUUAGCGCCUUGACGGUAGCUAACCAGAAAGCCACGGCUAACUACGUG